rnacentral:rRNA from 1 species
UACGUAGGGGGCAAGCGUUGUCCGGAAUCAUUGGGCGUAAAGAGCGUGUAGGCGGCCCGAUAAGUCCGCUGUGAAAGUCCAGGGCUCAACCCUGGGAUGCCGGUGGAUACUGUCGGGCUCGAGUCCGGAAGAGGAGUGUGGAAUUCCUGGUGUAGCGGUGAAAUGCGCAGAUAUCAGGAGGAACACCAAUGGCGAAGGCAGCACUCUGGGACGUGACUGACGCUGAGAUGCGAAAGCGUGGGGAGCAAACAGG